rnacentral:rRNA from 1 species
UACGUAGGGGGCAAGCGUUGUCCGGAAUCAUUGGGCGUAAAGAGCGUGUAGGCGGCUCGAUAAGUCCGCUGUGAAAGUCCAGGACUCAACCCUGGAAGGCCGGUGGAAACUGUCGGGCUAGAGUCCGGAAGAGGCGAGUGGAAUUCCCGGUGUAGCGGUGAAAAUGCGCAGAUAUCGGGAGGAACACCAAUGGCGAAGGCAGCUCGCUGGGACGGUACUGACGCUGAGACGCGAAAGCGUGGGGAGCAAACAGG